AUUUAUUUAUGCAAUCUACAAUCGCAACUAUGUGAAAACAUAUGACACAUGACUAACACGGCAUUAUAAUAAGCAUUCCAAAAUUCAAUAAUUGUAAAGUAACUGAAGUUAAGUGAUAGAAAAGACAAAGAAGGUUUAUUCAACAUCGCUUACGAAAGCUUAAAAAAUCAUGAAGUGAUAAAACAAAUUAUCUACUUGCAAAAUUGUUAUAUGUAAGAAAAUAGUAAUGUUUUAAAUAAAAAUAUUAUUUACGAAGUAGCUGAAAGAUGGACCAAGUUUUUAUCGAUGAACGACAAGAUAUACAGAAAAAGACAUUCACCAAAUGGAUCAAUAGUCAUCUUUCAAAAUCAAACACAUGUGUUAUUAGCAAUCUAUUCGAAGAUUUGCGCGAUGGAAAUGCAUUGCUUUCUUUAUUGGAAGUUCUAACCAAUCAAGCAUACAAACGCGAAAAGGGUUCCAUGAGAGUACAUCAUAUUAAUAACAUAAAUAAGGCGCUAGCCGUUCUACAAAAGAAUGGAGUGAGAUUGGUGAAUAUAUCCAGUGAUGAUAUAAAUUCAGGUAACGCAAAGCUUACACUUGGACUAGUUUGGUUAAUUGCUUUGAGUUUCGACGGUCAUAAACUUUUGAAGUCGGAAGCAAUUAGUGGAAUUGAAAUAUCUUUACUCAAUUGGGUUCGACCAAUCGUAGAAAAACAUAAUGUUAAGGUUCACGACUUUGCCAGCAGUUGGUCUGAUGGGAUGGCUUUCUUCGCAAUUCUUUGUGAAUGCGUUGAUAUACUGGAUUUUAAUAUGGUUGUUCAAUUAAACCCGAUUGCGCGAUUGCGAAUGGCAUUUGAUUUAGCCUAUAAUCGUUUAGGUAUUGAACCACUGUUAGACCCAGAAGAUGUUAAUACUAAUGAACCGGAUAAAAAAUCAAUACUUAUGUAUGUGAUGAGUCUUUACAAUGUAAUCGAUUCAAGAAAUUUGAAGCAUGACGAUUUGCAGCUUUCGACAAAACACGAUGAAAACUUGGAGGAAAUAAAAUUGCUUACUGAUGAUAAAAUGAAUGGCUACACAAAACAAGAUUCUGAUUGUAAGUUCAAAUGCAGCUGUCAAAAUGUAGUAACUUAUUCAUGUGACAGGGGAAAUUUGUCGGAACUUUAUUUAGUGAAAUCGAUUGAUGAUUUGCGCAAUUUUAAUGAAGAAAAUAAAACGCAAGAGCUAUUUCAGAGCAAACCACUUAUUAAAAUUGUGGAACACACAGAAGCAGUAUAUUCUAAUGUUAAGCUAAAUGAGUCGAUUGUUUCGAUAAGAAGUGAUCGAGAGCAAAUAUCUUCACGUCCCGUUUCGACAGUGACUAAUUUAUCAAUAGAAUUUAACAGUUAUCAGUCAACUCUAGAGGAUGUGUUAGAUAUGUUGCUUAAAGCAGAAGAAAUAUUUACUAGAGAUGUAACGGAGUCGAAUGAUUUAAUGAUAGUGAAGAGACAUUUCCAUGAACAUGAAGAAUUUAUGACAAAACUUUCCGAAUACCAAACAUUUGUGUGUGGAGCUCUCGAUGAUGGAUCACGGUUGAUAAGUGAAGCGAAUUUGAAUACCAAAUCUCAAGGAAUGGACAUUGGAAGCCAAAUUGAAAUCAAACAACAGUUGUUUCUUUUGAAUGAACGAUGGGAAAUUCUGAGAGUGAACGCAUUAGAACGUCAGACUAAAAUUCAUAGCAGAUUGGCUUGGCUACAAAUAGAAAACGUUGAACAACUGAGAUUGUUUCUUUGCACUAUUGAAGACAGAGUAUCACGAAUGAACGGUGUCUGCCGGACCCCAAUGGAACUAAAGAUUCAAUUAGAAGAUCUCAUUCGCCUACAACACGAUAUGGAAAAUCAAAAGAAUUUGAUUAAUAGUCUUAAUAAUUUAGUUAUUAUUAUUGAUUCUAAUAGCUUCAUCGAUUUUGAGAACAUGUUAUCCGCCUUAGAAAAACGAUGGUUUCAUGUAACAAAAUGGAUAGCAAGUAGAUGGAAUCAGUUACAGACAUUAUGCUAUAGAUGGACUAAGCUUUCAGAACGAUAUCAUAUUAUUUGCCAAUGGAUUCAUUGUCGCCAACAAAACCUUAAAAAAAUGGGAACAAAUGAAUCUGUUAAAGUGGUAUCGAUUAUGGAACGAAUCGAAUGUUUACAAUAUUGCAAGCAAGAUCUAACAACUCUUAUCCAUUAUUUAGAUGACUUAGACAGUGCUGCACAAUGUCUCAGCAAUGAAGGAUAUUCAUCUCUUAAUGUAAUGAAAAUAGAACAUUUGACUAACAUGUGCGAUGCUCUCGUUCGAACAUUAGAAGCACAAGAAGUACGUGUCUUGAAUACGGGCUUUCAAAUACCGGUUUUAAUAAAGAGCGAUGACGAGCGAAAAAACAGUGUUUUAAAACCUGCCUCGUGGGAAGAUUUUCAGACAAAAAUGUUUGAAGAGAUAGAUAGUAAAGUGGAUGAAAUUGACAUGAAUAAUAUUAACACUUCCACAUAUAUCCAUAUUCCUCAACCAGAAAAAAAAACUAAACCCGCACAAUCGGAAUCAUAUGCUGAAUUUAAUGAAUUGUUGAAUGAGUUGGACAUUGCAUUGAAGGAGUGUAUGUUAACAUUGGAUACAAUAGAUAAUGUUGAUUCACAGAAAAAAAUAUCACUACUUGAACAUUGUGAAGCCGCUGUGAUUGAAAAAAAGAAAGAUUACGUGAGAGCUCAAGAAAUGUUUCUUCUAUGCAAUGUAUUGCCGCAUAUGGAUUUGAGUAUCGAAAGUAAACGACUAGAAGAUAUAGGCGUUUCAUUCAAUGCACUUCAAACCAAACUGUAUGAGAUCGGCAACAAGGAUAAAUUUAGUAGAAGUCUAACUGAAUUCAAACUUCUUUUAGUAGAUAAUCGAAAUUGGUAUCAACAGAGUUCAAACUUGAUAACUAUCGAUGAUCUUGAAAGACGUUUAUCAAUUAUGGAUUACUUCCAACCUAAAAUUGAGGAGAAUCAACAAAUUCUGGCCAAUAAUAAUGAAGACGAUUGGCGAGCUUUUAACAUCGAUUUCAAUCUCUUCGUAGAAAGUUGGAAUGAUAUGAAAAAGGUCGUUGGUCGUGUGAUAAUUGAAAAAAAUGGUUACAAGGAACUCAGUGAACAUAUUCAACGAGUUCAUGAAUUGGUUAGUGAAAUAGAUAGUCUAUCGGUAGUCAAUAUAGAUUUAAAAAGUAUGCAAAUCACUCUAGGGAGAAUGAAUUUUCUUGAAACAAUGUACAACGAACUACUUGAUGAAAGUGGCGAUGAAAUAAUUGCCCAUCUGUCUGCUGAUACUAGAUUUGAAAAGCCCUUAACAGAAUGGUAUAGCGUUCUCCGGCUGUUGAAUGACAGUAUUAGAAAACAAAACAUUGCUUUAGAAUACAUAAACAAUUUCAACAAGGAAUGUGAGAACAUUCGUGCUUCACUAGAUAAAAUAGAUUCCAAUUUGGAUGAACUCUUUUUAUUAGGUGAAGUAAAACAUCUGAAGUAUGCAAAGUAUGAACAACUUACAACGGACAUUAAAAGAGUAGAAAAUGACAUAAUUGGCAUAAAAAAGUUGUAUGAAAUCAUGGCAGAACAUGGCGAUGAAACUUCUUUAAACUUACGAAUCUGUGUACUUUCCGACCGUUAUUCAAGCAUCAUCACACGUUACGAAAAAAAAAUUAACAAACUUAACAUUGAAACCAGUGCAACAAGUAUUCUAGCACGAGUUUAUGAAAUGGGGCUGUGGUUGAAUAAUUUAGAAAAGAACACUCCCAAGAUACUUAAUUCCGAAAUAGCUAACCUCAAUGAGCUUUAUCAGAUAAAAUCUAAGUUCCAAGCGUUGAAGGAGACAUGUGAACAACAAACUAACAAAUUCCGUGAGUUGAAUGAAAUAGGCAAUGAACUAUUGUUGAAGAUCGACGAAAUGGUCCAAGAAAAACCGGAAAGCAAGUUUAUAUGUCUCGUCACCAAAUUUACCAAGCUCAACGCAUAUUGGACUGAAGUGACAACUUUGGUGUAUUCAAAAACUGCAUUUCUGGAACACAUUACGAGCCAAAUUGGUGAAUUCAAAACGCUGACAGUUGCUACCGAGGGAUAUCUGGAUAAACUCGAAAAAUUAUUGCGCAGAAGCUCGGAAAGUGCUGCAGAUGUUGAGGAAAUAUCAGAAGAACUUGAUACCAUCGAAAAUUAUAUUCGAAAUCACCCAAAACAACGUUUUGACAAAAUAUUCGCCUUAGGAAAGGAAUUGUGUAGCUUGAAAUUUAUGGUUGUCUUAGUCGAAGAGGAUCAACGUACUAUUACUGAACGUUGGAAUAGUUUACAAGCUCUGGCGAAACAACGCACGGCCAAACUUGAACAAGCUAUGAAAGAGGCUCAAUCAUCCGAAAGUCAAGUAUCUUAUAUGCAGCAAUGGAUUUUCCGAAUUAACGAGACAUUGAACGAUACGACAACAGAAAACAUUCCGCAUGAAAUUCAAAAACUUCAAAACGAUUUUGAAUACCAUAAAAAAGUUCUUCUAGACAUGGCACAAAAAGUGGAUCAUUAUAAAUGUGAAGGCAAAAUAGAAGCAGCUAAUCGAUACCAAGAUCAAGUUGAAUUACUUCAAGAUCUAUUUAAAUGUUGCCUACACAAGUUUUAUCGGCUCUCAUCUGAGCAAACGGCUUUUGAAACCAAGCUAAAUCUGGCGCUUGUAGAGAUUCAUCAUGCGGAAAAAGGUGCAACGAUUCUAGAUAUAGCAUUUGCAGGGCCCGCACAUUUACAAGAUCAGUUUCAGCGUAGCUUAAAAAUAUAUAAAUAUUUAUCCGAGAUAAAAAGUGAAAUAGAACAAAUCAUUCGGGCCGGUAGAAAAAUUUGUGCAGACGAAGGAACUAUAAAUCCUUCGAAAUUGGGGCAACGAAUAGACACAUUAAAGCAUUUAUAUAAUUCCCUUGGCGAAACUGUAACUCAAACAAAACAAAUUUUAGAGAAUUUAUCAAAGAUACACCGCGAUCUGGACGAUAAUCUGAAUGAAGUUGAACAUUGGAUCUAUGAAAUUAGUGAUUUAAGACAACCAACUAAUGAAGAACUAAGUGUUACAAUAGGGAAAAUAAUGACAUGUACAAAACUUUAUGAUGAAUAUAGACAAGUUUGUCGUGAAAUAUAUUUAGAAGAUGUAAAAGUUCGUAUAGAAAACGCUAAAAAACGAUUAAUGUUUAUUGGAAACCGGGGGGUGAAAGAAAAGUUGCAUAGUAUCAAAAAUUCAUCAUUAAACGUGGAUUCUGUAAACAGUGAUUUAUUGAGAUAUAUAAAGCCAGAUCUCAACAGUGUGGAAUCGAAUAAUGAUGAAGAUGCUGAGGACUUCAUUGUGAAGAUGUCAAAAAUGUUACAAAUAAAACAACAAGAGUUGAAACUUGCACUCACAAUUGCAUCGCAAGCCAGAUAUAACGUUAUAGAUAUUGAAAUUAUGGAUAUGCUAGAAAAGGUUAUCAAGGAGCUCUCUGAUCAUUGUGAUAAAGUUGUAAAUGCAGUAUCAAUUCUAAACUGUGUCGAAAACCUUGAAAAUGAUCGAUCGAGUCCCAAUACUACAGUCACAAGUCAAGAUUCCAAAUCUUAUGUACCUGGGUCUUCCACCACAAAAUUAAAUGCUAAAAAUGUUGCAUUAAUUAAUAUCUUUGAACAGUCAGUCACUCAUAUCAUAAAUUGGUUAAACAUUGGACUUGAAAUGAUAAACAAGCACUCUGUUGUAGUUGGUGACAGUGACAUGGUAAUGGACGCAAUAGAUAAACAAAAGAACAUGCUCUUUGAAUUGGAUAUAAAUAAACCGAAGCUUGAACAAUUAACUAUCACAUCAAAGAAUGUUGCAAUAGACGUUGAAAUACAGCAUCUACUUAGUAAAGUUACACAAAUCCGAGAAAAAUGGGACGAAACCUCUCAAACUGUUCUUCAAAGAAAAUCUCAGCUGAACGCAAUGCUAGGUGAUUCACAUAGGUAUGAGUCAAAACGCGCUGAAAUUGAUAAUUGGAUGACUCGUAUGGAAUUACGCUCAGAUAAAAUGGGAGCUGUUGCAACAACAGCAGAUGUACUAGAAAUACAACAGAAGGAACAAAAGUCAUUUCAUGCAGAAAUUCAUCAGUUUAAACACCAGGUCGAACUUUUUAAUCAACUAACGCAGAACUUAAUAGCAGUUUAUCCAUCAGAUGAUACAUCUCGUAUAAAAAGAAUAACUGAAUCUGUCAAUCUACGGUAUAACAACUUGAAUAAUGCUGUGAUCUCUCGAGGGAAAUUGUUACACGCAGCUGUUCACUCAUUGCAAUCGUUUGAUAGAACAUUAGACAAAUUUUUGGGUUGGUUGAGCGAAACCGAAUCUUUGUGUGAAAACACUGAAUCUGAUAUCGACAGGAAUCCAAAUUGUUAUAAGGAUCUCAAAUCAGAAAUCGAGUCGCAUCGCACUGUCCAUGACCAGCUUGAUAGCACAGGACGGAAACUAUUGUGCUCUCUCACAUCACAAGAAGAUGCUGUAAUGUUACAGAGCCGUUUGGAUGAGAUGAAUCAAAGGUGGCAUCAUCUGGAGGGACGUAGUGUUGCCAUUAGAAACCGUUUAGAAUCAAACUCAGAGCACUGGAAUGCAUUGUUAUUGUCGUUAAGGGAGCUGACCGAAUGGGUUAUUCGCAAGGAUACUGAGUUAACUUCGUUGGAUCUGUGCCCAAUGAAAGGCAAUGCGACUAAUUUACAGAAACGUAUGGAUGAUCAUCGUGCUUUCCGCCGCCAGCUAGAAGACAAACGCCCUUUGAUAGAAAACAAUUUGUUAAGUGGGAGACAAUAUACUGCAAAUGAACUACAUGUAUCCGAUACUAGUGAUUCAGAAGCAGCUAUUGAUAGUGAGUCGCGAUACAUGUCAACCGAGGAGCAAAACAGGGAACUAACCCGAAGUAUUUGCCGUGAAGUUAAUAAAUUAUCCGAGCAAUGGAAACAGUUGAUUAACCGUUCAGAAAAAUGGAAACAUCGAUUGGACGAAUUCAUGACGAAAAUGAGACAAUUCCAAAAAGUUCUGGAAGAUCUGGGUUCUCGUGUUGCAUCUGCCGAAACACUUACCUAUUCAUGGACUAGCCCCACUAGUACAUCCAAAGCUACUGAAGAAAUGCAACACCUGCAACGUUUAAAGGACAAAAUGACCACUGCUGGAGCGCUUUUGGAUGAUUGCAAAGAACAGCAAAGUUUCCUCACAACUAAUCACCUGCUUGUACCUGUUCAUUGUCUUGCUAAGCUUGAGGAUUUAAAUACACGAAUUAACGUAUUACAUAUAGCUAUGGAUGAACGACAUAAAACCCUGACGGCAUAUGGUGCAAACAAACCCCAUACUUCCGAUGUAUACAAUGUGUCGACAUUUGGUGAUAGUACUGUUAACGUUGGCCAGAUUCCAAAUUUAGCGGCAAGUGUAAAGCCGCCUUGGGAAAGAGCUACAACGCCAGCCACAGUGCCUUAUUAUAUAAACCACGAAAGAGAGGAUACGCAUUGGGAUCACCCUGAAAUGAUUGAACUGAUGAAAUUACUUGCCGAAUUUAAUAACGUUAGGUUCUCCGCUUAUAGAACUGCGUUAAAGUUACGAACAGUACAGAAAAGAUUGGCGUUUGACCAAUUAGCAAUGGAUGUUACGAUAGAGGCAUUUGAUAGACAUGGUCUAAGAGCUCAGAAUGACAAAUUAAUAGAUAUCCCGGAUAUGACGACAGUAUUAUUUUCAUUGUAUGUCACCAUUGAAUCAAUUGACAUGGCAAUGAUGCUUGAUCUAGCUGUCAAUUGGAUUCUUAAUGUAUAUGACUCGCAGCGUACUGGACAAAUUCGUGUUCUUAGUUUUAAGGUUGGCCUAAUACUAUUAUGUAAAGGAAAUCUUGAAGAAAAAUAUCGCUAUUUGUUUCGACUGAUUGCCGAUUUGGAGAAAAAAGUCGACCAGCGUAAGUUAGGAUUACUGCUACAUGACUGCAUACAAGUUCCAAGACAGCUGGGAGAGGUGGCAGCAUUUGGAGGAUCGAAUAUCGAACCCUCUGUGCGUUCCUGUUUCGAACGUGCAGGUGUAAAUCAACCACUUGAAAAUACUAUUGAGGCCCAGAAUUUUUUGAAUUGGCUUCAACAUGAACCACAAAGCUUAGUGUGGCUUCCAGUAUUGCAUAGAUUAGUAGCUGCGGAAACCGCAAAACAUCAAGCUAAAUGCAACAUUUGUAAAGAAUAUCCAAUAGUUGGAUUUCGCUACCGUUGUUUGAAAUGUUUUAAUUUUGACAUGUGUCAGAAUUGUUUCUUUUUAGGUCGCAAUGCUAAAAAUCACAAGCUUUCUCAUCCUAUGCACGAGUAUUGCACCACUACCACUUCCACAGAAGACGUCAGAGACUUUACUCGAGCGCUUCGAAACAAAUUUAAGAGCAGAAAAUACUUCAGAAAACACCCUCGUGUGGGUUAUUUGCCCGUACAGAGUGUACUUGAAGGGGACGCUUUAGAAAGUCCUGCGCCUAGUCCUCAACAUGGCACACAUGCAUUGCAAAACGAUAUGCACACUAGACUUGAGAUGUAUGCAUCACGUUUAGCACAAGUUGAGUACGGCACGUGUAGUAAUUCAACUCCUGACAGUGAUGAUGAACAUCAACUGAUAGCACAAUAUUGUCAAUCUCUUCCUAAUAACGGUGCUCCGAAAUCACCUGUUCAAGUCAUGGUAAUCAUGGAUGCAGAACAACGAGAAGAACUAGAGGCAAUUAUCAAAGACUUGGAAGAAGAAAAUGCUUCGUUGCAGGCAGAGUUUGAACAGUUGAAAUCCAAACAAACUCCAACAAUAACUCCGGACGAGAUGCAAUCUAAAAAUGCACCUGCGGGAGAAAAUCAGGACAUGAUUACCGAAGCUAAACUAUUGCGCCAACACAAAGGGCGAUUGGAAGCAAGGAUGCAAAUUUUAGAAGACCAUAAUAGGCAAUUAGAAGCACAACUACUACGGCUAAGACAGUUAUUGGAUGAGCCAAAUUCAGCUAAGGUUUCUACUCUUCAAACGAGAUCUGUGACUGCAUCUCAGCUUAAUACCGAAUCACCAGCCAAACUUCAACAGAACGGAAAUUAUGAACAAUACACAAGCACGGAAAACAGCGCAGCAGGAAGAACCGCAACUUUUCAAAUGGCAACUAACAACCUCGGUCUUGUUGGAGGUGACGAUCAUAAUAAUCAUAUACUUUUAUUUGAUGGUGGAAAGAAUGUCGGGAUCACCAACUCUACAGAUGCGAGGCCUCCUCCUCCUCAGCAUACAAAUCUAUUGCAUAUGGCGGGUUUUCCGUAGAAUAUCAAAAAAUCGGUAAAAGAUCGGAAGCUUCAAAAUAUUCAAGUUAUAUUGCAUAGAACGUUUCAACGUUUCAGAAAAUCAAAGUAAUUUGAACCAAGCAGUUGAAGAUUUGGUGAACGCCAUUACAGAAGAGGACGUCGAAGAUAAUGUAUAGUCUCUGGGUAUCAGCUCGGCAUCGUCAACGAUACCGAAAAAAUAUCAUUAAGUAAAAAUUGAAAAAUAUAUUCAUAAAGAGAAUUUAAUUUUAGGAAUUUGCACUUAGAUCACUUUAUAAUCAACAAUAAUUACUAAGCAUAUGCAGUUAUUACCAUUGUCAAGUAAUAAAAGUAGUAAGUAACAUAUCCGAGUAAUGUAAAUUCAAUCAAUAUUUACUUCUAUGAAUAUGUUUUAAUAAUUUCGAAAAGCGAUGCAUCAGUUUUGCCUCUAUUCAUUUUUACACGUGUGCAUUUUUGGUCGAUAAGACGGCUCCCGCUAUUGCGAUGCUCUGAAAAUUUUUUCUCUAUUUUUCGAAAUAGAAUAAUUCAAUUACAUCUAUGAAUAUACUAAUGUUAUACUAAUAGUGAGUUAAUCAAAUUUGAAUGCAUGUAAAUUUUCAGUUAUACACAAAAACAUUUAAUGUUGGCCGAAAACUCAAAACAUUGCAAAACUGUGCAAAGCGAAAUUAAUCUAGUGUUCGUAAGAAACAAGCAAAUUUGGUAACUAAUCAUCAACAGUAACAAGUACGAAUAUAGAUGCCUAAAUUUCGAAUAGUCGGCGCACUCGAAUUGGUUCUACGAAUUUUUUUUGUGAAAAUUCAACACAUGUUGAAACUAUUCAAAAAUCUACCAAAAUAUGGAACAUUCAUUAUAAAUCCGUAAAUUUACAGUCAAAUCUGUAAAAAUAUCAAUAUAGUUCAAGCAUUUUUAUAAGACAGCUGAAAAAAUGAAUCUUGCUAAUUAAUCCCAAUUAGAAAAUCACUUUAAUUACUCAAACGAUGUGUAAAUGUAUGUGCGAUAUCUGACUAAUGUUAUAAAUGAUAUUAUAUGGAUAAAUAUCUUCACACAUAUCACUAAUUGUAUGAGUUGCCUUACCUUGAACGAAAUUGAAAAAAAAAUCAAAUUUUAGGCAUGUUUAUUUAAAUUCCACUCAAUAUUAUCAACAGUUAAUAAACAAAGAAAUUAAUAACUAAAAUAUAUAAGCAUUGAUUAGGCAACGCGUGGAAACUUUAAAAUUUAAAUGAGUUGCUAUUAUUUGAAUAAAGGUAGGUAAGCGUUUGAAUCAUGCAUAUGAGAUAAACCUCCCCAUUUUCUAAUGAUUUAAACGCAGUUUUUAACAUACAGGCAGAAAUAUUAUGCGCCUACUAAGUAUUCAAUAAAUGUAACUAUUGAAACGUUAAA